rnacentral:pre_miRNA from 1 species
CUACUACUCCCUCCGUCCGGAAAUACUUGUCAUUGAAAUGGAUGUAUCUAGAUGUAUUUUAGUUCUAGACACAUCCAUUUUGAUGACAAGUAAUUCCGGACAGAGGGAGUAUUAU